AUAGUACUCCCUCCUUUCUGAAUUACUUGUCGUAGCUAUGGAUGUAUCUAGAUGUAUUUUAGUUCUAGAUACAUCCAUUUCUUCGACGAGUAAUUUCGAACGGAGGGAGUACUAC
rfam:Triticum aestivum genome assembly, contig: Triticum_aestivum_CS42_TGACv1_scaffold_288703_4AL